rnacentral:rRNA from 1 species
GAUGAACGCUGGCGGCGUGCCUAAUACAUGCAAGUCGAGCGAACGGACGAGAAGCUUGCUUCUCUGAUGUUAGCGGCGGACGGGUGAGUAACACGUGGAUAACCUACCUAUAAGACUGGGAUAACUUCGGGAAACCGGAGCUAAUACCGGAUGAUAUUUUGAACCGCAUGGUUCAAAAGUGAAAGACGGUCUUGCUGUCACUUAUAGAUGUAUCCGCGCUUCAUUAGCUAGUUGGUAAGGUAACGGCUUACCAAGGCAACGAUGCAUAGCCGACCUGAGAGGGUGAUCGGCCACACUGGAACUGAGACACGGUCCAGACUCCUACGGGAGGCAGCAGUAGGGAAUCUUCCGCAAUGGGCGAAAGCCUGACGGAGCAACGCCGCGUGAGUGAUGAAGGUCUUCGGAUCGUAACACUCUGUUAUUAGGGAAGAACAUAUGUGUAAGUAACUGUGCACAUCUUGGCGGUACCUAAUCAGAAAGCCACGGCUAACUACGUG